UGUUCAAAUAGCUUAAUUGUUUGGUAGGCAUUUUUAUUUCACUUUUAUAAAUUGUGUCUUGCAUUGAUUAUUAGAGUGUUACCUGAUUUUACAAAUCACCCCAAGAUGUAUAAUGGCUUGAAGAAAACAGAAGUGAAUUUCUUGUUCCCCUAAAUAUUCUGUGUGGCUUCAGUGGGAAAUUUGGGGAGAAAAAGAAAUGGAGCAUGACAAUAACACAUUAAAGAACUGAGCCCUGGGUCUACAAUUCUGAAUUGUGUGUCUGUGAACUAAAACUUCCAGAAUUACAGGGCAAUAAAAGUUUUGAAGUAUUGAGAACAUAAUAAACAAACUCCUUAGGGAAGAGAUGGGGCAGAUGACCUCAAAGAAGAAGCACAUAGAAGUUCUAAAAAUGCAAGUUCUGAGAGAGGUCUAUAUAAUUUUUAAUGAUUAGGCAAAAUAAUAGGAAGAAGGACUUACAAAUAAAGAGAAUAACAUCAUCACUCCAAGAAGAACCCCAUACCUAUGUGCAUUCACCCUGUAUUUCUCCUUUCCUUCAGCCCCAGAGAACAGAUAUCAGUAACAGGAUCAGUAUUACCUUGAAUGUGAGUGACAGAAAUUUCAUUCAACCACAAUAGCUUAUGAGGAUAAUGAAUUAAUUCAUGAAAUCCAAAAAGUCAUUGAACACAGCUUCAGAUAAGGACACAAGUUCUCCUGUACAUCAAGAACACUUGAAC